AUUGAACGCUGGCGGCAGGCCUAACACAUGCAAGUCGAGCGGAUGAAGGGAGCUUGCUCCUGGAUUCAGCGGCGGACGGGUGGGUAAUGCCUAGGAAUCUGCCUGGUAGUGGGGGAUAACGUCCGGAAACGGGCGCGAAUACCGCAUACGUCCUGAGGGAGAAAGGGGGGGAUCUUCGGACCUCACGCUUUUAGAUGAGCCUAGGCCGGAUUAGCUAGUUGGUGGGGUAAAGGCCUACCAAGGCGACGAUCCGUAACUGGUCUGAGAGGCUGAUCAGUCACACUGGAACUGAGACACGGUCCAGACUCCUACGGGAGGCAGCAGUGGGGAAUAUUGGACAAUGGGCGAAAGCCUGAUCCAGCCAUGCCGCGUGUGUGAAGAAGGUCUUCGGAUUGUAAAGCACUUUAAGUUGGGAGGAAGGGCAGUAAGUUAAUACCUUGCUGUUUUGACGUUACCAACAGAAUAAGCACCGGCUAACUUCGUG
rnacentral:rRNA from 1 species